UACGUAGGGUGCAAGCGUUGUCCGGAAUUAUUGGGCGUAAAGAGCUCGUAGGCGGUUUGUUGCGUCGGCUGUGAAAUCCCGAGGCUCAACCUCGGGUCUGCAGUCGAUACGAGCAAACUAGAGUGUUGCAGGGGAGACUGGAAUUCCUGGUGUAGCGGUGGAAUGCGCAGAUAUCAGGAGGAACACCGAUGGCGAAGGCAGAUCUCUGGGCCGUAACUGACGCUGAGGAGCGAAAGCGUGGGGAGCGAACAGG
rnacentral:rRNA from 1 species